UACGAAGGGGGCUAGCGUUGCUCGGAAUUACUGGGCGUAAAGCGCACGUAGGCGGAUUGUUAAGUCAGGGGUGAAAUGCCAAGGCUCAACCUUGGAACUGCCUUUGAUACUGGAGAUCUUGAGUCCGGGAGAGGUGAGUGGAACUGCGAGUGUAGAGUUGAAAUUCGUAGAUAUUCGCAAGAACACCAGUGGCGAAGGCGGCUCACUGGCCCGGAACUGACGCUGAGACGCGAAAGCGUGGGGAGCAAACAGG
rnacentral:rRNA from 1 species